ensembl:lncRNA novel transcript
UGGAGCGAAAGACGGGCAUUGAAGGUGUCCCUGCCGGUACUCAUAAACCUUCUAUGCCAACCAAGCCACAUCUCGGCCUUCGUGGUCCUCAGCAAGGCAGCCAGGAAGGUGGCUCUGCAGGCCCACUCCCUGGGGCCGCACCCUUACCUCAGCAGCUUCCAUGGCAGGCUUGUUCUCCCUGAAGCCCUACAGAGAAAAGGCAUUUGGAAAAAACACCCUAAAGCUGUUAUAUGCUCCGCAUCCCAUUGCCUCCCUGCACCCCGUCAUCAAGUCAAAUGUGGGCCAGCUGUGGAUGUGGGAGGUUCCCAAGAUGUUGCAGAUCCUGGAGGAUCUUAGGAAGUUCCUGUCGCUCUCUGAGCUGGAUAGUAGAACAAAGCUGCUUCUCACCUGCUACUGGAGCAUGCUCUGCCUGCCCCCGUCAGAGGUGAUGCAGAAGGAGGAGUCCAGAUCCACAGAGGGACAGGCCAGUGUGGUCUCAUCCUGAGACAUCUCCUCCUGACCCACCAUGGCUGCCUGGCUCUCCCGGGAGUGGCACCUACAAUGUUCAAGAUAGAGAAAAACAUCAAGACCUG